rnacentral:rRNA from 1 species
UUUUAAAAAGCGUUAAAGUUUAACUUUCCCCAUCUUCAAUUCCAUAAAAUUAAAUGACCCCUUACUUAACAUUGAAUGACUUCAUAAUCAUAUGAAAAUCAUCAUGCCGGAACUAGUAACAAGAAUUUAACAUUCUCCAAAAUGUAAGCAUAAACUAAAAUGGAUUAUCCACUAGUGAUUAACGUAAAUGAAACUAAUACAUCAACGACCCAAGAAAAACCUGUAUGCCCGCUCCAACCGUUAACCUAACACAAGAACACUUAUGGAAAGAUUAAAAGAAAAAGAAGGAACUCGGCAAACUUUAACCCCGCCUGUUUACCAAAAACAUCGCCUCUUGAUAAAAUAUAAGAGGUCCAGCCUGCCCAGUGAAAAUUCAACGGCCGCGGUACACUGACCGUGCAAAGGUAGCAUAAUCACUCGCCCCCUAAUUAGGGGCCUGUAUCAACGGCACCACGAGGGUUAUUCUGUCUCCUUUUUCUAAUCAGUGAAACUGAUCUACCCGUGAAAAAGCGGGUAUUUAACUAUAAGACGAGAAGACCCCAUGGAGCUUCAAACCAAAAGCAAAUUAAAUCCUUAUACCACUACAGCUAUUAUAAUAUGCAUGUCGGUUUUAGGUUGGGGCAACCGCGGAGAAAAAUUUAACCUCCACAACGAAAAGACCUUAGUCUUUAUCCCAGAGCCACCGCUCUAAGAACUAGGAUACUAACAGAUAAUGAUCCAACUCAUGUAGUUGAUCAACGGACCAAGUUACCCUGGGGAUAACAGCGCAAUCUACUUUGAGAGUUCUUAUUGACAAGUGGGUUUACGACCUCGAUGUUGGAUCAGGGUAUCCUAGUGGUGCAGCCGCUACUAAAGGUUCGUUUGUUCAACGAUUAAAACC